UAAUAAGUGUUUUAUGGCACUUUUUAAAUCCAUAUCCACCUUGUGUGCAAUGUCAGUCGAUCUUCUUCAUGGAGAUCGACCAAACAUCAACCUUUAUCUUUUAACUCUUGUCUGAAAAAUAUUAUGAAUAAACAAUUCAAAAUA
rnacentral:misc_RNA from 1 species